UCCUCAUCCCUCUCCAGGGAAAACCAGGGCUCCCAGGAAUUCAAGGACCUCCCGGCUUAAAGGGGUUACAGGGAGAGCCAGGUCCCCCCGGAAGAGGGAUCCAAGGCCCACAAGGAGAACUAGGGGAGAAAGGCAUACCAGGAAAUCCUG